UGGGGUGUAGCCAAGUGGUAAGGCAGCGGGUUUUGAUCCCGCCAUUUCGUGGGUUCGAGUCCUACCACCCCAGCCA
rnacentral:tRNA from 1 species